GAUGAACGCUGGCGGCGUGCCUAAUACAUGCAGGUCGAGCGAACAGACGAGGAGCUUGCUCCUCUGACGUUAGCGGCGGACGGGUGAGUAACACGUGGAUAACCUACCUAUAAGACUGGGAUAACUUCGGGAAACCGGAGCUAAUACCGGAUAACAUGUUGAACCGCAUGGUUCAACAGUGAAAGACGGUUUUGCUGUCACUUAUAGAUGGAUCCGCGCCGCAUUAGCUAGUUGGUAAGGUAACGGCUUACCAAGGCAACGAUGCGUAGCCGACCUGAGAGGGUGAUCGGCCACACUGGAACUGAGACACGGUCCAGACUCCUACGGGAGGCAGCAGUAGGGAAUCUUCCGCAAUGGGCGAAAGCCUGACGGAGCAACGCCGCGUGAGUGAAGAAGGUCUUCGGAUCGUAAAACUCUGUUAUUAGGGAAGAACAAAUGUGUAAGUAACUAUGCACGUCUUGACGGUACCUAAUCAGAAAGCCACGGCUAACUACGUG
rnacentral:rRNA from 1 species